rnacentral:rRNA from 1 species
CUGCCAGACUCCUACGGGAGGCAGCAGUGGGGAAUAUUGGUCAAUGGGCGCCCUCCUGACCCAGCUCCGCCGCGUGAGGGAAGACGGUCUUCGGCUUUUCAACCUCUUUCCUCCGGGAAGACCCCCGGACGGUACCUUCCUCAGAAGCCCCUUCUCACUACGUUCCCUCCGCCGCGGUCCUCCUUAGGUGGCCCUCGUUAUCCGGAAUGCCUGGGUGUAAAGGGUGUGUAGGCGGGGCUGCAAGUCAGAGUGGAAAAUUAGGGGGGCAACCCAUAACCUGCGUCUGAAACUGUAGCUCUUGAGAGUGGGAGAGGGAAACGGAAUGCCCGGUGUAGCGGUGAAAUGCGUAGAGAGAGGGAGGAACACCAGUGGCGAAGGCGGUUUACUGGACCACAACUGACGCUGAGACACGAAAGCGUGGGGAGCAAACAGGAUUAGAUACCCGUGUA